ACUUUUCGGCUGGGACAACAGUCCCACCCAGCAAAAACACAGCUCGGAAAAACGCAAUCCAACCCAACCCAACCCAUUUUCUAUCCCGCCGAGGGACUUUCCCCACACGCCCUGGGCGUAUAGGUUUAUCUUGGGGCUUAUUGCCCUCCGAAAAGAUAGCAAGCUACGAUUUUUUAUGCCAAAAGUUCAAAGCAAUUUUUAAAGAUCAAAAUGCCAAACAGAGACGCCGCAACGGAGGCGGGAGACGAGUCCUCAAGGGAGCCGGGACCCGGGAGCCAGGCAGAGUCCAGGCCACAGAGAAAUCAUUUCGUUUCAAUUUAUUUUUCGAUUUCCCAUUGUUUUGCUCUUGUACGGAAGUCACAGCACAUGUUAGUUGCUGUUUUUUCUUUAAAUCUGUAUAUGUUCUGCUCUGUUCUGCAGUGCCAAAUGCUGUCCUGGCAUUUUCACACCACAAACACAUACAGCCACAAAUUGGUCAUUUUCCAAGAGGAUUCAAAAAUUACACAAUGUUAUUCUCUCAAAUUAGACAUACGCCACCGAGUGUCUAUCUGUCUGUCCGACUGUCAGACCUUCCAUUCGUGCUCUGAUUGCGGCUUUCUUUCUUUUGAACGUGGCUUAUAAAUAAGUGAAGAGGAAAUUCUGAUGAAGCAUGGCUAAUUGGAUGAAGUGAGUGCCAAAAGUUUCAGACUUGAGACACAGAUCAAAGUAAGUUAAAUAUACUAAUUCCAUCAAUAAUAAUUGGAGCUUCAAGUGGACUCCUCUUUGGAGCAACAUAUGUUCCAUUAGCUAGAACUGAACUUUCCCCAAAAUUUGCAUUCAUCAGGCAAAGAAAAUCCUCUGGCUAAGCCCAUAAAUAACGAAAUAUAUUUAGCCCAGUAAACAAAAGCCAUUAAUCACACGAACGAAAGCAAGCCAAGACUACUCUUUGCCAAUGAAUCAAUGAAACUGUGUAGUACAUUGACAGGUCAGGGAAAGGUCAGGCAGGGGCACUCUUAACAAAUGCCAAGGAAAGGAUUGAGAAGAACAAAGAUUUCAAAGGUCUCUCUUCCUUUGGAAGUACAGAAAUCAAAUGAAGAUGCCCUGCACCGGGGGCAAUUAUGAAAAAUCUCACUAAAAUAAAAACUAUGCUGAGCCGAGGGCAUUUGUCAGAGGAAAUUUAUGUUUGGCGGGACUUACGGGCAGUUCUGAGCACUUCGCGGCAAAAGAAAUGGCAACAGAAACGUGAAAGGAAAAUGGCCCCCACUUAGUUUAAUUGUUGGCACGUUGCUUGGGUCCGUGUCCGUGCCCAUGCCCCUGCAGAAUACACAAAGGAGCAGGACCCGUGACCGGACUGUGCCUGAGCUGAGGAGCGGCUCAUGUAAUUAAAGCACCGCCACAUCCACUGCAACAAAGCGUAGUGCAGGGGGGCGGGGGUGUUAACUUGGCCAACUGCUGCUUCUGCCACUUCUGUGCUCGGUGGCAUUUCACGCCGCACUCCUUUGCGGGGUUUUUUGGUACUUAAUUGUGCGCAUUAACUGACAGGCCGAGACCCCAAAAGGACCCUAUUGAUUGCUGGAUGGGUGGAUGCCAUUCAAGGUUUCACCCAAUUACUUUCCCUUUCUCUGCACACUUUCUAUGUCAUAAUUGGCACUGGCACUGACACUGGCACUGACACUGGCACUGGCUAAGUGCCGAACGUUCCACGAACGGGCCAUUUAGCUGCAGUUUGGUUUAGUUUGGUUACUUUUAUGCGAGUUUGCACCGCACCGAGGAGUGUGUCUGGUCCCCGGCCAGGGUAUGGCAAAUGGCUAGCUUAUGAAUGUUUAAAUAACUUUCAAUUGCGAGAAAAGUUUUCAAUUUCGUUAUAACUUUUGCCCAUGUAAAUGCAUUAACAAACUUUAAUUAAUAUGAAGCCAACACCCAUACACGAGCAGGGACGGGGAAAUCGAUUGUAUUGGGGCUGCUACUUGGGCUGAGGCGGAUGCUGCUGUUCACAAAGUUUCUAAUGGCCCCGUAAUGGACCCUUGAGCAUAAUGUUUCGACACUGGCCUCAAGAAAGGGGCAACGCGACGUAUACGCAACAAUUUUACAUGAUGAAUGAGCGAGCGCUUGGGGAGUUGCCUAAGCAUUUCCGAGGAAAUCUAAAUUAAAUUAAAUUAUUUACGGGGAGAAUGAUUUUAAGGGAGAAUUUAAUACAGAAAUUCCAGUGUUGUGGAUAUUCCAGGCUCGUAGUAAACGCUUGAUGCUUGCCAUUGCCAUGGACAUGCUGGGGCUGCUGAUUGCUGCAUCCGCAGGAGAUGUGCGACUAGAGCGUGGUGUCCUAACCCUAAUACAUAAUCUGUGCACUCUCCAGCUGGAUACUUACAGACCGCACACUUUGCAUGCGUUUGCCAAAUCCAAUCGGAACGAACCGAAACGCGAAGGAGCACCCGGGAUGCGAUUCGAGACUCUCAUGGAAUAUCUAACGCAACGAAACAGAAACGAAAAAGAAUGAAGCGGAAUCCCGCACUGACAGGAAACAGUGCUGCAUGUGCUCGGCGAUUAGCAAACAAGAGGCAGACCGUGGAGAGCUAUCCCCAACCGAAGGGGCGGGCGGGGCAGAGGAUGCGCUUAAGAAUGCAGUGCAUCGCCUGGCAACGGUAAAAAUGUGUCACUGAGAGUGAGCGGAUAAGGGCUCGCCGACGAGGAUGGGGGAGCAGCGUGGAGCACAGGGAGCACUCGCACAAAAUACUCGUUGGGCAAACGCAAAAUGACUUUAAAUGGAGACAUCGCUUUGUGUGUGUGUCCUCCCCUCCUUUCUGCAUCGCACUACGUGCCACUUGCCACUUGAAUGUCAUUCCCUUGGGGCCAAAUGAAGUUAUGCAGUAUUUUUCAUUGA